rnacentral:rRNA from 1 species
AAUACCCGCUGAACUUAAGCAUAUCAAUAAGCCGGAGGAA